CUGACAUAUUCAGACAGAGACCAUAUUACAUAUAGACUGUUACAUGGUCUCUGAUUCAGGUGUCAAGAAUCAAGAACAAAUUAAAUGACAGAAGUUUUGCAACAGUGAACAUAGUGAAGUGGAAGAUAAGACAUUUGAAAGGACUUGGAUUUCACAAUCUGACACCAGCUACAUUUAAGAAGAUCUUGCUCAGACAUGUCAGACAAGGGACUUGCCGGAUGAUGAACAAUCCUCCAGAUAACAACCAACAGAUACACCUCAGAAAGUGAUGAUUCUGAAUGAAUAAUGCCACAUCAGUGUGACUGUAGGUGGUUUUAUUAUGACACCUAAUCAAGUCUGAAUGAAUUUAUGCCAAAGCACUGUGACUAUGUCCAGGUUGUGUACACCGACGCUGACUAUACAAAUCUGAAUGACUUUUGUGGUUUACUGCAGAAACAUAAUUGACUUUACAUAUUCUUCUUCCAUGAAAUUCUUCUGAGAUUUGACUAAUUUGUUUAUUUAGAAAAUUGCAUUGAAGAGUCUGUUCUGUAAGUUCUUGCAAACACCACUGGUUACUUAAUGCUAGUUCCUCUUCUUGCUUGAUCAAAUUUCAAUUUGUGAUAUGUACCAA
rnacentral:lncRNA from 1 species